rnacentral:misc_RNA from 1 species
UCUCCGUUGGUGAACCAGCGGAGGGAUCAUUACAGGACUCGCAAGGCUCCCGUAACCACUGUGAACUUACCUAUAUUCGUUGCCUCGGCGGGUGCCUUAGACUCAUAUCUAGGGCAUUCAACCCGCCGGUGCCUACAACUCUGUCUCGCGCGUUGGCAUCUCCGAGUCAUUUUAAACGAGUCAAAACUUUCAACAACGGAUCUCUUGGUUCUG